AGAGUUUGAUUCUGGCUCAGGAUGAACGCUGGCGGCGUGCUUAACACAUGCAAGUCGAACGAAGCAAUUAAGCGGAAGUUUCGGAUGGAAGCUUAAUUGACUUAGUGGCGGACGGGUGAGUAACCCGUGGGUAACCUGCCUUAUACUGGGGGAUAACAGUUGGAAACGACUGCUAAUACCGCAUAAUAAAGAAUAUCGCAUGAUUUUCUUUUGAAAUAUUUAUAGGUAUAAGAUGGACCCGCGUCUGAUUAGCUAGUUGGUGAGGUAACUGCUCACCAAGGCGACGAUCAGUAGCCGGCUUGAGAGAGUGACCGGCCACAUUGGGACUGAGACACGGCCCAAACUCCUACGGGAGGCAGCAGUGGGGAAUAUUGCACAAUGGGGGAAACCCUGAUGCAAGCGACGCCGCGUGAGUGAAGAAGUAUUUCGGUAUGUAAAGCUCUAUCAGCAGGGAAGAUAAUGACGGUACCUGACUAAGAAGCCCCGGCUAACUACGUGCCAGCAGCAGC
rnacentral:rRNA from 1 species